rnacentral:rRNA from 1 species
GACGAACGCUGGCGGCGCGCCUAACACAUGCAAGUCGAACGGAGUCAAGAGGAGCUUGCUUUUCUUUACUUAGUGGCGAACGGGUGAGUAACGCGUGAGUAACCUGCUCUGGAGUGGGGGACAACAGGGGGAAACGACUGCUAAUACCGCAUAAGCCCACGCAGCCGGGUGGGUCUGGGGGAAUAGGGGUUGUUCGCGUCAGAAUGGAGUCUCGUCCAAUUAGCUAGUGGGUGGGGUAACGGCCCACCAAGGCGAGGAUUGGUGGCCGGACUGGGAGCGUGCCCGAUCACAUUGGGACUGAGACACGGCCCAGACUCCUACGGGAGGCAGCAGUGGGGGAUAUUGCACAAUGGGGGAAAACCUGAUGCAGCGGCGCCGCGGAGAGGAAGAAGGUUUUCGGAUUGUACACUCCUGUCGUAAGGGACGAUAAUGACGGUACCUAACAAGAAAGCACCGGCUAACUACGUG